rnacentral:rRNA from 1 species
UGAGGAAUAUUGGUCAAUGGACGAGAGUCUGAACCAGCCAAGUCGCGUGAGGGAAGACUGCCCUAUGGGUUGUAAACCUCUUUUAUAAGGGAAGAAUAAGUUCUACGUGUAGAAUGAUGCCUGUACCUUAUGAAUAAGCAUCGGCUAACUCCGUGCCAGCAGCCGCGGUAAUACGGAGGAUGCGAGCGUUAUCCGGAUUUAUUGGGUUUAAAGGGUGCGUAGGCGGUUUAUUAAGUUAGUGGUUAAAUAUUUGAGCUAAACUCAAUUGUGCCAUUAAUACUGGUAAACUGGAGUACAGACGAGGUAGGCGGAAUAAGUUAAGUAGCGGUGAAAUGCAUAGAUAUAACUUAGAACUCCGAUAGCGAAGGCAGCUUACCAGACUGAAACUGACGCUGAUGCACGAGAGCGUGGGUAGCGAACAGGAUUAGAUACCCUGGUAGUCCACGCCGUAAACGAUGCUCACUGGUUCUGUGCGAUAUAUUGUACGGGAUUAAGCGAAAGUAUUAAGUGAGCCACCUGGGGAGUACGUCGGCAACGAUGAAACUCAAAGGAAUUGACGGGGGCCCGCACAAGCGGAGGAACAUGUGGUUUAAUUCGAUGAUACGCGAGGAACCUUACCUGGGUUUAAAUGGGAAAUGUCGUAUUUGGAAACAGAUAUUCUCUUCGGAGCGUUUUUCAAGGUGCUGCAUGGCUGUCGUCAGCUCGUGCCGUGAGGUGUCGGGUUAAGUCCCAUAACGAGCGCAACCCUUACCGUUAGUUGCUAGCAUGUAAUGAUGAGCACUCUAACGGGACUGCCACCGUAAGGUGAGAGGAAGGCGGGGAUGACGUCAAAUCAGCACGGCCCUUACACCCAGGGCUACACACGUGUUACAAUGGCCGGUACAGAGGGCCGCUACCAGGUGACUGGAUGCCAAUCUCAAAAGCCGGUCGUAGUUCGGAUUGGAGUCUGUAACCCGACUCCAUGAAGUUGGAUUCGCUAGUAAUCGCGCAUCAGCCAUGGCGCGGUGAAUACGUUCCC